rnacentral:lncRNA from 1 species
GGAAGCAUAUUCCAGGUGGGAGAACAGUUUGGGACAGGGGUUGGCAAACUAUGGCCUGUCUCCUGUUUUUGUAAAUAAAGUUUUUUUUUUUUUUUUUGAGGUGGAGUCUUGCUCGGUCACCAGUCUGGAGUGUAGUGGCGUGAUCUCGGCUCACUGCAACCUCCAUCUCCCAGGUUCAAGCAAUUCUCCUGCCUCAGCCUCCUGAGUAGCUGGGACUACAGGUGCAUGCUGCCACCAUGCCCAGCUCAUUUUUGUAUUUUUAGUAGAGAUGGGGUUUCACCAUUUUGGCCAGGAUGGUCUUGAUCUCCUGACCUUGUGAUCCACAUGCCUCGGCCUCCCAAAGUGCUGGGAUUACAGGUGUGAGCCACCGCGCCCGGACGUAAAGAAAGUUUUAUUGAGACACAGCCAUGCCCAUGAAUGCUUUCAUGCUUCAACAGCAGAAUUAAGUAGUUGCCACAAAGACCUGGCCUGCACAGCCUAAAAUAUGUCUUGGCCAAGAAGUCUGAAUCAACCAUGGUCUCCUCCAAAGACGAGGAGUCAGCUGAAAUGUACCAUCUUCAUGGAAGCCUGCUCUGAUCAUUCCAGAUGAGGGUAAGUCCCACCACAUAGGCUCGUAGCUCUGUGUGUUUUUCCUGCCAUGGUCUAUUUAUGAUUAUUUGCUUAGGCCUGUCUCCCCCACUAUCCUGUGAGUGCUAUGAGGAUGAAACCUCGGUCCUUCUUGUACACUGCUGUGUCCCCAGGGCUCAGCACAUAGCUUGGCACAGAGGAGACCCUCAAUAAACAUUUGUUUAGGAAAAUAGUCCCACUAAUAUUUCUUUGUCUCUUCCCUUUAUGCUUCCACUCUGGCUGGUGGCAGCUCUUCCCUUCCCAUGAAACCAGGGUCUCUGUGCCUCUCUUUGUAGAGCAGUCUCCCCUCCUGCCCCGGCCCCAGGUGGAAAGUAGAGGGGAGGAGAGAAGGGGAAGCAGGGGGCAGGCACACUUGAUGAUGGGGGAAGAGGGUGUGAAGGCCUCUGCAGGACAGGGAGGGGCUGAGAAGACAGGAGGCUGCCUGCUGGCCCCACGCAACUCCACCCACUUCACUUUCACUCCCACCCCCACCCUCAUCUUGGCAAAGCCCCCUUCCACCCCCGGGAACCACCAGGGAAGACGAACAGCUAUAAAGUGGCAGAGAUCCUACCAGUGGCCCAACAGGACUACGGGGCUGCCCUGCUGGUUUUCAGAGGUUUCUGAGACCCACAGUGAGAAGUAUGUUUUAUGAGGCCAUCCUGCGUGUGUGUAGACCGAUGUACAAACCCCCAAGUGGACAAAGUCAUACUUGCUUUCACUAUGCAGGGUGUAUUACAACACCUCCUAUUGUUUUCUAUUCCAGUUUGAAACCACUUCUUGUCAUGACUUAUAACAGGAACAUGUAGCCGAUACAGUGGGCAGGAGUGAUGUUCUGGAAGGGGCCCCAUGCCUGGGGUUUAAUGCUUUGUGGUCACCAUCUUGAAAUUCUUAAUCGUUUUUUGUUUGAAUUUGUGCUUCGUAAGUGAGGUCUUGACGGGAUGCAUGGCCCCACUUCCUGGGUUCUGGGCCACUGAUCCCAUUCCCUUGCCCCUGGUUAGUGUCAGUGGCUGUAUUCCUCACCCCCCACCCCCCACCCCCCAGCAGGGGCCUGCACACUGGCUGGGGAAGGGUCUCGAUUGGGCAAGCCUCCAGGGUGAGGGUUGGUCCGUACUGCCCCACCAGUAACCCCGUGCCUGAGGGAGUAUGACAUUAAAGUACGCAUAAAAAAUGCCACAACAAGCUGAGAGACUGCCAAAGAAAGGAAGAAGCCUUUUGCCUGCCUUUUGAACAGGGGUCCUGCAUCUUCAUUUUGCACUGAGCCCCACACAUCAUGCAGCCAGCCCUGCCUGCUAAACCGAUUUCACAACUCACGGAUACAUCAUGACUGGCAGUUUGAGAAACACUGCAUUAGCCAGCAGGAUGUUGCAGCUGACAAAAAUGCAAACCUCCAUCAGGUGAACUUAAGCUUCCAUCACAAUUCUACAAUGAAUUGGCUGUGUUUUGGGGCAUGUCACUGAACUCUCAAGUCCUGUGUCCUCAUCUGCAAAACCAAGAUAAUGCCGAGACCUACUUUUAGAGUCAUAGUGGGGACUGAAUAAGGUAAUGCGAUGUGCCCGGGGCAGUGCCCUGAAUCUAAGAAAGUCAUUAUGAUUAUUACUAGGUCCCUCUAGUCUUUUGUCCAGCUCUGAUUUUUUUUUUUUCCCUACUUUGAUUUCUCGGAGGAAGAGAUUCCUGAGCUGGGCUCUGAGAAGCAAGCAGAGGUUUACUGGGUGGACAAGAGAGGGAAGGAGGAUGUCUGAGUAGACAGAACAGCAGAGGCUCAGGGGCAUGGUGUGUUUAAGGGAAGUGAGAGCAAAUCUUUUCUGAGAGGCUGCCCUUCCAGUGAGAGGUAAGCUGGUGGGAGGGGCAACUGGGCAACCUGGGCUCCUGGGGCAGCCAAUGAAGGCAGGGUUUUAGGCGGGCAAGAAGCAUG